UACGUAGGGGGCAAGCGUUGUCCGGAUUUAUUGGGCGUAAAGAGCGUGUAGGCGGUUAGGUAGGUCCGUUGUGAAAACUCGAGGCUCAACCUCGAGACGCCGAUGGAAACCAUCUAACUAGAGUCCGGAAGAGGAGAGUGGAAUUCCUGGUGUAGCGGUGAAAUGCGCAGAUAUCGGGAGGAACACCGGUGGCGAAGGCGGUUCUCUGGGCCUUACCUGACGCUGAGGAGCGAAAGCGUGGGGAGCGAACAGG
rnacentral:rRNA from 1 species